rnacentral:rRNA from 1 species
AGUUUGAUCCUGGCUCAGAGCGAACGCUGGCGGCAGGCCUAAUACAUGCAAGUCGAGCGGUCCCUUCGGGGGCAGCGGCGGACGGGUGAGUAACGCGUGGGAACGUGCCCUUUGGUACGGAACAACUGAGGGAAACUUCAGCUAAUACCGUAUGUGCCCUUCGGGGGAAAGAUUUAUCGCCAUUGGAGCGGCCCGCGUUAGAUUAGCUAGUUGGUAGGGUAAUGGCCUACCAAGGCGACGAUCUAUAGCUGGUCUGAGAGGAUGAUCAGCCACACUGGGACUGAGACACGGCCCAGACUCCUACGGGAGGCAGCAGUGGGGAAUCUUGCGCAAUGGGCGAAAGCCUGACGCAGCCAUGCCGCGUGAAUGAUGAAGGUCUUAGGAUUGUAAAAUUCUUUCACCGGGGACGAUAAUGACGGUACCCGGAGAAGAAGCCCCGGCUAACUUCGUGCCAGCAGCCGCGGUAAUACGAAGGGGGCUAGCGUUGCUCGGAAUUACUGGGCGUAAAGGGCGCGUAGGCGGACAGUUAAGUCAGAGGUGAAAGCCCAGGGCUCAACCUUGGAAUUGCCUUUGAUACUGGCUGUCUUGAGUACGGGAGAGGUGAGUGGAACUCCGAGUGUAGAGGUGAAAUUCGUAGAUAUUCGGAAGAACACCAGUGGCGAAGGCGACUCACUGGCCCGUUACUGACGCUGAGGCGCGAAAGCGUGGGGAGCAAACAGGNNNNNNUACCCUGGUAGUCC